rnacentral:misc_RNA from 1 species
AGGCGACCUGAUAUAGGCAUGAGUCGCUCCGGCAGGAAGAGAUCUCAAGUUCGCUGCAGUGGCUAUCAGAGCAGGAAACGGGAGUAUACGAAGAGGAGACGGAGGGCUCGAAGACAGGAUCUGACUGCUCGUAGCAAUCGGUGCAGGGCUUGCACUGCACCCAGGUGACGUCGCUGCCGGUGUCGAGCACCAUGUACUGUGGCCGCGCCGGGCUGCCGAUGCCGACACGAGAGAAGUACUCGCCGCUGCCCUGGCUAGUGCCGGAGACGAUGGGGCCCUGGAUCCCGUCACCGCCGGGGGCCGAGGCCAAGGAGAUGGAGUUCUGGUUAACCAUGGGCUUCAGAUCUGAAUGCUUGACUCCGUGCACGGCGAGGGCGAGCCUGGUGGUGAUAGACUGGACCCUGACCGAGUCGCGGCUAAGCCGAGCGAGGGUCAGGUCCCCAUAAUUUUUAUGGGCGGAUGUUGUGGGGAGAAAGUCUCUAGAAUGAAGCUGGAGAGAGAUGUGACCAUUACUACCUGCAACAGCGGAUUCUUCAAUAUUGGUGUAGUUCGUCGUCAGGGGAUCGAAGGAGGCAGCGCGGGAGGCGGCGGCGAGGGAGUUGAAGACAUGGAUCUUGGCGGUGGUCUUGGUUUGAGAGAUGUCUCGGGCGAGAACAAGGGAGGCGGAGGAGAAGAGGGAGUUGA